rfam:Sarcophilus harrisii ctg7180002222664, whole genome shotgun sequence.
AAACAUGCUUCUAUUUCCUUCCAUGCUGAUCUGGCUGGCUAGGCGGGUGUCCCCUUCCUCCCUCACUGCUCCAUGUGCAUCCCUCCCGAAGUUGCGCGCUCCAUCGAAGAGGACGACCUUCCCCCAUAGAGGCAUACCGUUCUUCGGUCAAGGGUAUACGAGUAGCUGCGCUCCCCUGCUAGAACAAGCUCCCAAGGUCCAUUUGUAGGAGAACGUAGGGUAGUCAAGCUUCCAAGACUCCAGACACAUCCAUGUUAUUAUAAACUAUGCCUAGGCAUGUGCAU